UUUUGAGAUAAAACACAAGAACUUUAAAAAUCCAAUGAGCACUUCAGCUCUAAAGUUCAGAACUUCUGACAAGAACAAGCAACUAUUAAAGCUUGAGAUCCAACGCAUAGUUGUUGAUCUAUAGUUCUCUACCCACAGCCCUUCUUGUGUUCCAAUCACAAAGAAGAGCAGAGGUAUUUUAUUCCUUGAGUAACUAUCUAGUGAAUCGAAAAUGCCCAAGUGAAAUUUUUGAGUUUCAAAGGUAGAUCAUCUAAACCGAAAUUUAAUGCAAGGAUUUUACACAUCUAAUGACACUUCAGUUCUAAGGUUUAAUUCCUUGAGAUCCAACGCAAAGUUGUUGAUCUCCAAGCACCACCUCUCAUGUUUUGAUCACUAAGAAGGGAUAUAUCUUUAUUCCUUGACUAACUAGGGACUUUAACAUCCUAAGAAAACCAGACUAUUGAGUCUCAGGAUCAACGAGAUACUGUUGAUCCCUCCAGCUCAAUGUCCUGAUAUUAAUCCUUACUGCUUCUUGGCAUGCCUUUCACAG
rnacentral:misc_RNA from 1 species